CAGACUGAUAGCCAGGCUGAAGAGCAGGGCUUCAUCUUCAUCAUCAGCAAAAGGAGGAUUUUCCCAGUGUGAGGGGAUUCAAGGAGCUCUGUUUGAGGCCACUGGGACAGUACCAGCUGUCACUUACAGCAGAUGAUGUCUCUGUCACAUCCAACCUCUGGGCCUCUGUUUUCACAAGAGGCUGAUACCUUGAUCAAGAUGUCAUGGUGAAGCCAAAGGAGGAAGAGAGACAGCACUUGAGAAAUCAGACCCAGGAGCUCAGAGCUGAACUGCUGCCUCGAAAUCAGCCGAUGUGUGCAUGCCUGAGCCUCCCAUCCCUCCGAGCAGCUGUAGUUUCACUGUAGUAUCAUACGACCCCCUGCUGGCCUCAUUUUUCUCCUCAGCACUUCUGGCAUUCCAGUUUUUCUGGUUUUUCCCUCCUCGGGGAUCUCCAAGGUGUCACCUCCUGCAGGCACUCCUUUCUGAGGAUGCGAGUGGUGUUUUUUGGGAAGGAUGGCCUCGGCAGGGCUGCCCAGCAUUGUCCUGCUCGCUCUGCAGCGGUGGUGACGGUCCCUGGCAGGAGCCGAGCGUAUCUCAGGCUAAUGAGUUGUCAGAACCCCGUCCCCGUGCCUCGCCUCCCGGGCAGGUUAUUAUUAUGAGGGCUGUCAGUGGCGGGUGAGGAUGGGGCAAGCACUCCAUUCCUGCAGCCAGCGGGGAGCUGCGGGUCUGUUCACAGGGGAUCAGCGGGGUGCUGUGGGAACCGGCCAGCCCUGCGAGCGUCCACCAAGGGCUACAUUCACCACAGCGCCGUGGGCUCAUGGCGAGCGCAGCAAUGUAUGCCCUAAUGAGUCAGCCGAGGGUGUUCUGCCUGCCUGAAUGUCUUUAGUGUGGCAAAGCAGAGUGGACAUUCCCAUACAAUAGUGGGCUUAAAUUCAGCUUCGCACCGAUGUCUAAUUCAUGGGCGGAACGGCUUUUGUAAUACCUAUAGAAGAGAAGUACAGUAGGUCAUUUCUUCAACUAAUUGGAGUUGACAAUCCCAUAUCUGUCCAUAUCUCAGAGCCAUUUGCACACAGUUGGAAAGGGAGGCGUUUCGUCUUCGCUCAUGUGGUCAGCCACCGGGAAGGGAAAAUAAUGUAUGUGUGGGUUUCUGCUUCAGGCAGGCACAGAUUUGCUACAAAAUCUAAUAUAACUGGCAAUGGCUU